rnacentral:rRNA from 1 species
UUAAGUGACUAAGCGUACACGGUGGAUGCCUGGGCAGUCAGAGGCGAUGAAGGACGUACUAACUUGCGAUAAGCGCAGAUAAGGCAGUAAGAGCCGUUUGAGUCUGCGAUUUCCGAAUGGGGAAACCCAACUGCAUAAGCAGUUACUGUUAACUGAAUACAUAGGUUAACAGAGCAAACCGGGGGAACUGAAACAUCUAAGUACCCCGAGGAGAAGAAAUCAACCGAGAUUCCGGUAGUAGCGGCGAGCGAACCUGGAUUAGCCCUUAAGCACUCGGUGAAGUAGGUGAACAAGCUGGAAAGCUUGGCGAUACAGGGUGAUAGCCCCGUAACCGACGCUUCAUCGAGCGUGAAAUCGAGUAGGGCGGGACACGUGAUAUCCUGUCUGAAUAUGGGGGGACCAUCCUCCAAGGCUAAAUACUCCUGACUGACCGAUAGUGAACCAGUACCGUGAGGGAAAGGCGAAAAGAACCCCUGUGAGGGGAGUGAAAUAGAACCUGAAACCGUGUACGUACAAGCAGUAGGAGCACCUUCGUGGUGUGACUGCGUACCUUUUGUAUAAUGGGUCAGCGACUUAUAUUCAGUGGCAAGGUUAACCGUAUAGGGGAGCCGUAGCGAAAGCGAGUCUUAACUGGGCGCUCAGUCUCUGGAUAUAGACCCGAAACCGGGUGAUCUAGCCAUGGGCAGGUUGAAGGUUGAGUAACAUCAACUGGAGGACCGAACCGACUAAUGUUGAAAAAUUAGCGGAUGACUUGUGGCUAGGGGUGAAAGGCCAAUCAAACUCGGAGAUAGCUGGUUCUCCCCGAAAGCUAUUUAGGUAGCGCCUCGGACGAAUACUACUGGGGGUAGAGCACUGUUAAGGCUAGGGGGUCAUCCCGACUUACCAACCCUUUGCAAACUCCGAAUACCAGUAAGUACUAUCCGGGAGACACACGGCGGGUGCUAACGUCCGUCGUGGAGAGGGAAACAACCCAGACCGCCAGCUAAGGUCCCAAAGUAUUGCUAAGUGGGAAACGAUGUGGGAAGGCUCAGACAGCUAGGAUGUUGGCUUAGAAGCAGCCAUCAUUUAAAGAAAGCGUAAUAGCUCACUAGUCGAGUCGGCCUGCGCGGAAGAUGUAACGGGGCUAAGCAAUACACCGAAGCUGCGGCAAUAUCUUUUAGAUAUUGGGUAGGGGAGCGUUCUGUAAGCCGUUGAAGGUGAAUCGUAAGGUUUGCUGGAGGUAUCAGAAGUGCGAAUGCUGACAUGAGUAACGACAAAGGGGGUGAAAAACCUCCUCGCCGGAAGACCAAGGGUUCCUGUCCAACGUUAAUCGGGGCAGGGUGAGUCGACCCCUAAGGUGAGGCCGAAAGGCGUAAUCGAUGGGAAACGGGUUAAUAUUCCCGUACUUCUGACUAUUGCGAUGGGGGGACGGAGAAGGCUAGGUGGGCCAGGCGACGGUUGUCCUGGUUCAAGUGCGUAGGCUUGAGAGUUAGGUAAAUCCGGCUCUCUCUAAGGCUGAGACACGACGUCGAGCUGCUACGGCAGUGAAGUCAUUGAUGCCAUGCUUCCAGGAAAAGCCUCUAAGCUUCAGAUAGUCAGGAAUCGUACCCCAAACCGACACAGGUGGUCGGGUAGAGAAUACCAAGGCGCUUGAGAGAACUCGGGUGAAGGAACUAGGCAAAAUGGUACCGUAACUUCGGGAGAAGGUACGCUCUUGAUGGUGAAGUCCCUCGCGGAUGGAGCUGACGAGAGUCGCAGAUACCAGGUGGCUGCAACUGUUUAUUAAAAACACAGCACUGUGCAAAAUCGCAAGAUGACGUAUACGGUGUGACGCCUGCCCGGUGCCGGAAGGUUAAUUGAUGGGGUUAGCGUAAGCGAAGCUCUUGAUCGAAGCCCCGGUAAACGGCGGCCGUAACUAUAACGGUCCUAAGGUAGCGAAAUUCCUUGUCGGGUAAGUUCCGACCUGCACGAAUGGCGUAAUGAUGGCCACGCUGUCUCCACCCGAGACUCAGUGAAAUUGAAAUCGCUGUGAAGAUGCAGUGUACCCGCGGCUAGACGGAAAGACCCCGUGAACCUUUACUACAGCUUGGCACUGAACAUUGAACCUACAUGUGUAGGAUAGGUGGGAGGCUAUGAAGACGUGACGCCAGUUGCGUUGGAGCCGUCCUUGAAAUACCACCCUUGUAUGUUUGAUGUUCUAACUUAGACCCGUUAUCCGGGUUGAGGACAGUGCCUGGUGGGUAGUUUGACUGGGGCGGUCUCCUCCCAAAGAGUAACGGAGGAGCACGAAGGUGGGCUAAUCACGGUUGGACAUCGUGAGGUUAGUGCAAUGGCAUAAGCCCGCUUAACUGCGAGAAUGACGGUUCGAGCAGGUGCGAAAGCAGGUCAUAGUGAUCCGGUGGUUCUGUAUGGAAGGGCCAUCGCUCAACGGAUAAAAGGUACUCCGGGGAUAACAGGCUGAUACCGCCCAAGAGUUCAUAUCGACGGCGGUGUUUGGCACCUCGAUGUCGGCUCAUCACAUCCUGGGGCUGAAGUCGGUCCCAAGGGUAUGGCUGUUCGCCAUUUAAAGUGGUACGCGAGCUGGGUUUAGAACGUCGUGAGACAGUUCGGUCCCUAUCUGCCGUGGGCGUUGGAAGAUUGAAGGGGGCUGCUCCUAGUACGAGAGGACCGGAGUGGACGAACCUCUGGUGUUCGGGUUGUGUCGCCAGACGCAUUGCCCGGUAGCUAAGUUCGGAAUUGAUAAGCGCUGAAAGCAUCUAAGCGCGAAGCGAGCCCUGAGAUGAGUCUUCCC